rnacentral:rRNA from 1 species
CAGCAGCCGCGGGAAUACGUAGGGUGCAAGCGUUAUCCGGAAUUAUUGGGCGUAAAGAGCUCGUAGGCGGUUUGUCGCGUCUGCUGUGAAAACUGGGGGCUCAACCCCCAGCCUGCAGUGGGUACGGGCAGACUAGAGUGCGGUAGGGGAGAUUGGAAUUCCUGGUGUAGCGGUGGAAUGCGCAGAUAUCAGGAGGAACACCGAUGGCGAAGGCAGAUCUCUGGGCCGUAACUGACGCUGAGGAGCGAAAGCAUGGGGAGCGAACAGGAUUAGAGACCCGGUAGUCCCUGUCUCUUAUACC